rnacentral:rRNA from 1 species
CGAGGAGGAAGCUCUUUUGGUUUAUACCCAAGAUGAGUGGACGUUACUCGCAGAAUAAGCACCGGCUAACUCGGUGCCAGCAGCCGCGGUAAUACGAAGGGUGCGAGCGUUAAUCGGGAUUUUCUGGGCGUAAAGCGUGCGUAGGCGUCUUUUUGAUUCGGAUGUGAGAUCCCCGAGCUUAAUUUGGGAAUUGCAUUGGAAACUGUGGAAGCUAGAGUGUUGGGAGAGGCUGGUAAAAUUCCAGGUGUAGCGGUGAAAUGGGUAGAGAUCUGGAGGAAUCCCGAUGGGGAAGGCAUGCCUUCUGUCCUAAUACUGACGCUGAGGUAGGAAAGCAUGGGGAGCACACCAGGAUUAGAUACCCUGGUAGUCCAUCCCGUAACCGAUGUUUAUUAGCCGGUGGGGUUCUUGAGCCUUCAGUGGCCAGCUAACGC